CUCAGAAUUUGGUAUUAGAUGUGCUCCCAAGGUCAGUACUUCCUUUAUCUGAUUGUUGUCAACAGGUUACUGUUACAUCCACUAUCAGCUGAAGUUGAUAUGGUUGUGUUGUUUAAAAGCCUAAAGCGUCCUCUUUCAGCCAUUUUAAGUCCUUUUUGUCCAUGAUUGCUUAUUGUUUCACAUGUCUGGAAGCCGGAAGGAAUGUUCUUAUAGAGGAUUCUAAUCCUUGGACGACUAUGUAUGGGUUUGUCUGCUGGCUUAUUUGGAAGUUAUGAAAUAAGAUUCUUCCCGACUGUGUUUCAUUUGGGCUAAUUUUCUGAGUAUUAAAAAGCUUGUUGCAUUUCAGGUCAGGUUAUCCCCAGGCAACCUGGCUUGUUAAACUUUUAUGGAUGUUGCAUCAAUUUCUUAUACUAGGGAUAUGGGAAUUUAUGGUCUGUAAUGUAUCGAGAAUAGCAGUUGGAAAUUUUUGUUCAGUUAGAACUAGUAGUGAAGGCUCUAUGUCGAAGGUGAGCUUUAUGCUAACCUAAUGGGGAUGAGGUAGGCAUGCGAUCAGGGCAAUCCCAGAACAGCUUAUUGAGUUGGAUUCCUUGCUAGCUGUUCAUGGAGAAUGAUUUGAAACUUGUUGAAGUGAUUUCAUUGUAAUAUUUUUCUUGUUUUUUUAUGCAUCGGUUGUCAUUUAAUUUGAGAAAAUACGGUAUGCAAUCAUUAAUUGGAAGUGUAAAAUGGAACGUGGAAAAAGAUAGUGGCACGUAGCGAAAUGCGAUGUUGAUAAGCUUAGGUGGACAUCAUUUUCUUGGUGCCAUUUAUUGGAAGUCAAUGAAAAUAAGUUCUAGUUUACUGUUGUUCAACAUGCGUGAAGUGUUUUGGGUCUGUUUUACUAGUAACUUUGGGUUUGGUUCAGCAUCUUCUGAAUGUACACAUGUAACCUCCUUACCUUUCUGGGGUUAGCUUCUCACAACUAUUUUGUCCCUUUCAGGGUAUAAAUACUGUAGCAGCUUCUCAAAUCUGGUUUGCUUCUCAACGAGGAAUGGUUCUUUGCAUGACCUGUUGACACUUAUAAAAUGUCGGGGUUACUAAAUCAAUGGAUCAGCAACAAAUCUUCAAGACAGUAGUGGACGUUCUUUUGCAACAUCUUUCUCUGGUCAGUCUGGUGCAGCCUCUCCUGUUUUCCAUCAUGCUGACAAUAUUCAGGCUUGCAUAAUAUUCAUGGUAGCUUUAAUGUUCCCAACAUGCCUGGUACACUCACAUCAAGAAACUCAACAUUAAGUAAUGUUCCAACUGUUGGGGUUCAACAACCUACUGGGAGCCUAUCUGGUGGAAGAUUGCAUCAAUAA